rnacentral:rRNA from 1 species
UGGGGAAUAUUGCACAAUGGGCGAAAGCCUGAUGCAGCGACGCCGCGUGGAGGAUGAAGGUUUUCGGAUUGUAACUCCUGUUAAGUGGGAAAGAAGACUGAUAUUUAAAAGAUGUCGGGGAUGAUGGUACCACUAGAGAAAGCACCGGCAAACUUCGUGCCAGCAGCCGCGGUAAUACGAAGGGUGCGAGCGUUAUUCGGAAUAACUGGGUGUAAGGAGCGUGGAGGCGGAUUUGUAAGUCAGUUGUUAAAGAGCUUAGCUUAACUGGGCAAAUGCGAUUGAAACUGCAAAUCUAGAGUACGGGAGAGAAGGGUAGAAUUCUCGGAGUAGCGGUAAAAUGCGUAGAUCUCGAGAGGAAUACCGGUUGCGAAGGCGGCUCUUUGGCCCGUAACUGACGCUUGAGCGCGAAAGCAUGGGGAGCAAACAGG